rnacentral:misc_RNA from 1 species
CCACCAUCAUCAACAUUCUACGAGUUAUUCAAUGGGGUGUUCCUCCCCAUUUGUAAAAGGGCAAAACUUACAAUCUCCAGCAUUCUUGGAUUUAACAAGAAUUCUAGAUUGGAUCAAUAUGAUUGAGCUGCAGCCAUUGGUACAGAUCUGUAGCAAGCUCUCCUUGCUGCACGAACUAUAUCCUCGACCUGAGGUAAAGCCAUUCUCUCCAGAUUAGCUGCAUAGGGCAUGGGAACAUCAGCUCCAGUAAUUCUCUCAACUGAUGCAUCAAGAUAACCAAAGCUGUCCUCAAUAAUAGAUGCACAGAUUUCAGCGCCAACACCAUGCUGAGGGAAUCCUUCUUCAACUGUCACCAGUCUGUUGGUUUUCCGAACUGAAGCAUUGAUUGCAGGUCUAUCUAGUGGCCUAAUUGAACGCAAAUUUAUAAUCUCAGCACUGAUUCCAUCCUUUGCAAGUAUCUCAGCUGCCUUGAGAGCAUAGCCCACCAUUUUUGAGAAGGCUGUGAUAGUCACAUCCUUUCCUUCUCUCUCAAUCUUGGCUUUUCCUAUAGGAAGGCAAAAACUGGAGUCGAGUACUUCAGCUGAAACAGGAAAUGACUC